rnacentral:lncRNA from 1 species
GCUGAAUCGAGUUUCUGCAUAAUAAGGAUGACAAUGAGGAAUAAAGGAAGCAGAGAAGGAGUGUGUCUAGCAGAGAAGAGAAGUGUGGGGGAAAGUGAUGAGCAGUGAAAUCAACAAGGCAGCGACUUCAAAGACCAGAAGAUGAGUGAGCUUCCUGAGUAAUCAACAGUUGGCCAAGGAUGUUGACCUCACAGUGAAGGUAGUUUUGAGAAAGAGAACACGACCAAUGUUUAAAAGUCUCAUUCCACCUGCUCUUUAG